CCCUUAGAUGUCCUGGGCCGCACGCGCGCUACACUGAGUGUCUGAGAUACGAGUCUGCCUAGCCGGCGAGGUCUAGGUAAUCGCUGAAAGACACAUCAUGCUUGGGAUAGAUUAUUGCAGAUAUUAAUCUUGAACGAGGAAUUCCUAGUAAGCGCAAGUCAACAGCUUGCGUUGAUUACGUCCCUGCCCUUUGUACACACCGCCCGUCGCUACUACUGAUUGGAUGUUUAAGCGAGGUUCUCGAACUGCUAGCGACUUAGCUUCGGUGAGGUCGCCGUGUGGGAAGUGAACCUAGCUUUGGUGUCUAGAGGAAGUAAAGGUCGUAUCA
rnacentral:rRNA from 1 species